GAAGCAGUAAUUUAAUGGAAAAAUAGCUCUAACCCAGAGAAAUUGCGGGUUCAAAUCCUGCCUGUUUCC
rnacentral:tRNA from 1 species